rnacentral:rRNA from 1 species
UGUUUCGGCAAGGGGGUCAUCCCGACUUACCAACCCGAUGCAAACUGCGAAUACCGGAGAAUGUUAUCACGGGAGACACACGGCGGGUGCUAACGUCCGUCGUGAAGAGGGAAACAACCCAGACCGCCAGCUAAGGUCCCAAAGUCAUGGUUAAGUGGGAAACGAUGUGGGAAGGCCCAGACAGCCAGGAUGUUGGCUUAGAAGCAGCCAUCAUUUAAAGAAAGCGUAAUAGCUCACUGGUCGAGUCGGCCUGCGCGGAAGAUGUAACGGGGCUAAACCAUGCACCGAAGCUGCGGCAGCGACGCUUAUGCGUUGUUGGGUAGGGGAGCGUUCUGUAAGCCUGUGAAGGUGUGCUGUGAGGCAUGCUGGAGGUAUCAGAAGUGCGAAUGCUGACAUAAGUAACGAUAAAGCGGGUGAAAAGCCCGCUCGCCGGAAGACCAAGGGUUCCUGUCCAACGUUAAUCGGGGCAGGGUGAGUCGACCCCUAAGGCGAGGCCGAAAGGCGUAGUCGAUGGGAAACAGGUUAAUAUUCCUGUACUUGGUGUUACUGCGAAGGGGGGACGGAGAAGGCUAUGUUGGCCGGGCGACGGUUGUCCCGGUU